GACGAACGCUGGCGGCGUGCCUAAUACAUGCAAGUAGAACGCUGAAGAGAGGAGCUUGCUCUUCUUGGAUGAGUUGCGAACGGGUGAGUAACGCGUAGGUAACCUGCCUUGUAGCGGGGGAUAACUAUUGGAAACGAUAGCUAAUACCGCAUAACAAUGGAUGACACAUGUCAUUUAUUUGAAAGGGGCAAUUGCUCCACUACAAGAUGGACCUGCGUUGUAUUAGCUAGUAGGUGAGGUAACGGCUCACCUAGGCGACGAUACAUAGCCGACCUGAGAGGGUGAUCGGCCACACUGGGACUGAGACACGGCCCAGACUCCUACGGGAGGCAGCAGUAGGGAAUCUUCGGCAAUGGGGGCAACCCUGACCGAGCAACGCCGCGUGAGUGAAGAAGGUUUUCGGAUCGUAAAGCUCUGUUGUAAGUCAAGAACGAGUGUGAGAGUGGAAAGUUCACACUGUGACGGUAGCUUACCAGAAAGGGACGGCUAACUACGUGCCAGCAGCCGCGGUAAUACGUAGGUCCCGAGCGUUGUCCGGAUUUAUUGGGCGUAAAGCGAGCGCAGGCGGUUUGAUAGUCUGAAGUUAAAGGCUGUGGCUCAACCAUAGUUCGCUUUGGAAACUGUCAAACUUGAGUGCAGAAGGGGAGAGUGGAAUUCCAUGUGUAGCGGUGAAAUGCGUAGAUAUAUGGAGGAACACCGGUGGCGAAAGCGGCUCUCUGGUCUGUAACUGACGCUGAGGCUCGAAAGCGUGGGGAGCGAACAGGAUUAGAUACCCUGGUAGUCCACGCCGUAAACGAUGAGUGCUAGGUGUUGGAUCCUUUCCGGGAUUCAGUGCCGCAGCUAACGCAUUAAGCACUCCGCCUGGGGAGUACGACCGCAAGGUUGAAACUCAAAGGAAUUGACGGGGGCCCGCACAAGCGGUGGAGCAUGUGGUUUAAUUCGAAGCAACGCGAAGAACCUUACCAGGUCUUGACAUCCCGAUGCUAUUUCUAGAGAUAGAAAGUUACUUCGGUACAUCGGUGACAGGUGGUGCAUGGUUGUCGUCAGCUCGUGUCGUGAGAUGUUGGGUUAAGUCCCGCAACGAGCGCAACCCCUAUUGUUAGUUGCCAUCAUUCAGUUGGGCACUCUAGCGAGACUGCCGGUAAUAAACCGGAGGAAGGUGGGGAUGACGUCAAAUCAUCAUGCCCCUUAUGACCUGGGCUACACACGUGCUACAAUGGUUGGUACAACGAGUUGCGAGUCGGUGACGGCAAGCUAAUCUCUUAAAGCCAAUCUCAGUUCGGAUUGUAGGCUGCAACUCGCCUACAUGAAGUCGGAAUCGCUAGUAAUCGCGGAUCAGCACGCCGCGGUGAAUACGUUCCCGGGCCU
rnacentral:rRNA from 1 species